rnacentral:rRNA from 1 species
AGUGUUCAAUAGAACUGUGGUAGGUGAGUAAUGUCCCCUACUAGAAAGGAGAGGGCAAGGCUGGUGCCAGCCGCCGCGGUAAAACCAGCUCUUCAAGUGGUCGGGAUAAUUAUUGGGCUUAAAGUGUCCGUAGCCGGUUUAGUAAGUUCCUGGUAAAAUCGGGUAGCUUAACUAUCUGCAUGCUGGGAAUACUGCUAUACUAGAGGGCGGGAGAGGUCUGAGGUACUACAGGGGUAGGGGUGAAAUCUUAUAAUCCUUGUAGGACCACCAGUGGCGAAGGCGUCAGACUGGAACGCGCCUGACGGUGAGGGACGAAAGCCAGGGGAGCGAACCGGAUUAGAUACCCGGGUAGUCCUGGCCGUAAACGAUGCAUACUAGGUGAUGGUACGGCCAUGAGCCGUAUCAGUGCCGUAGGGAAACCGUUAAGUGU